AGUGAACGCUGGCGGUAGGCCUAACACAUGCAAGUCGAACGGCAGCACAGUAAGAGCUUGCUCUUACGGGUGGCGAGUGGCGGACGGGUGAGGAAUACAUCGGAAUCUACUUUUUCGUGGGGGAUAACGUAGGGAAACUUACGCUAAUACCGCAUACGACCUACGGGUGAAAGCAGGGGAUCUUCGGACCUUGCGCGAUUGAAUGAGCCGAUGUCGGAUUAGCUAGUUGGCGGGGUAAAGGCCCACCAAGGCGACGCUCCAUAGCUGGUCUGAGAGGAUGAUCAGCCACACUGGAACUGAGACACGGUCCAGACUCCUACGGGAGGGAGCAGUGGGGAAUAUUGGACAAUGGGCGCAAGCCUGAUCCAGCCAUACCGCGUGGGUGAAGAAGGCCUUCGGGUUGUAAAGCCCUUUUGUUGGGAAAGAAAAGCAGCAGGUUAAUACCCCGCUGUUCUGACGGUACCCAAAGAAUAAGCACCGGCUAACUUCGUG
rnacentral:rRNA from 1 species